UACAGGCUUAACACAUGCAAGUCGAGGGGCAGCAUGGUCUUAGCUUGCUAAGGCCGAUGGCGACCGGCGCACGGGUGAGUAACACGUAUCCAACCUGCCGUCUACUCUUGGACAGCCUUCUGAAAGGAAGAUUAAUACAAGAUGGCAUCAUGAGUCCGCAUGUUCACAUGAUUAAAGGUAUUCCGGUAGACGAUGGGGAUGCGUUCCAUUAGAUAGUAGGCGGGGUAACGGCCCACCUAGUCUUCGAUGGAUAGGGGUUCUGAGAGGAAGGUCCCCCACAUUGGAACUGAGACACGGUCCAAACUCCUACGGGAGGCAGCAGUGAGGAAUAUUGGUCAAUGGGCGAGAGCCUGAACCAGCCAAGUAGCGUGAAGGAUGACUGCCCUAUGGGUUGUAAACUUCUUUUAUAAAGGAAUAAAGUCGGGUAUGGAUACCCGUUUGCAUGUACUUUAUGAAUAAGGAUCGGCUAACUCCGUGCCAGCAGCCGCGGUAAUACGGAGGAUCCGAGCGUUAUCCGGAUUUAUUGGGUUUAAAGGGAGCGUAGAUGGAUGUUUAAGUCAGUUGUGAAAGUUUGCGGCUCAACCGUAAAAUUGCAGUUGAUACUGGAUAUCUUGAGUGCAGUUGAGGCAGGCGGAAUUCGUGGUGUAGCGGUGAAAUGCUUAGAUAUCACGAAGAACUCCGAUUGCGAAGGCAGCCUGCUAAGCUGCAACUG
rnacentral:rRNA from 1 species